rnacentral:rRNA from 1 species
ACACGACUACAUUAGAUACCCCGGUAGUCCUAGCCGUAAACGAUACUCGCUAGGUGUCGGCCACGGUGCGACCGUUGUCGGUGCCGUAGGGAAGCCGUGAAGCGAGCCACCUGGGAAGUACGGCCGCAAGGCUGAAACUUAAAGGAAUUGGCGGGGGAGCACCACAACGGGUGGAGCUUGCGGUUUAAUUGGAUUCAACGUCGGAAAUCUUACCGGGACCGACAGCAACAUGAAGGCCAGGCUGAAGACUUUGCCGGAUUAGCUG